GCGGAAGGAAAGUCUGCAAUUGUCCCCGCGCUGGAGGAGAGCCAUGAGUCCAGUUUCUUCCCGGAACAGACCUAACGCCUGGUCCCGCAGCCGUAAAUAAAGUCACUCUCAUAGAAAGCUCACUGCCAUGUCUUGAGUAUACUCAAGUAACUCUGUGGAGAAGCCCAUUAGGCAGGGAAAAUGCCAUCAUGCCAACGGUCAUGUGACAGAGCUACUAGGAGACAAAACCUGCAGCGCCAACCAAGCCUUUGGAUGACUGUAGCUUCCGGAAAGACCCUGAGUGAGAACCACGAGGAUAACCCAUUCCCCACACCUUUACCUUGAAAACUACACAAUAUAAUAAAUGUUUGUUGUUUAAGCUGCUAAAUUUGGGGUAAUAUGUUAAUCGGCAAAAGAGAAUUAAUACAGAAGGAAGGAGCAGUUUAAACUCCCAACUUGUGACAUUUCACAGCUUAGGUAAAGAAAGAACAGGGUAAAGUUUGUGAAUGACCUUUAACUUCCAACCAGAGUCCCAAGCAGUUCUUUCCAUUUCAUAAUUCUUUAUAGUCUGGACAUCAACUCUUCCAUCCUCCAACCUCUCCAUUUUGAAAACAAGUCUUCAUAAUAUAACCUUUAUCAUUGAAGUCUAAUAAUUAGAUACCUUUGGCUAUUCCAUGGAUUUUAUGAUCCUGUAGUAA